rnacentral:rRNA from 1 species
GACGAACGCUGGCGGCGUGCUUAACACAUGCAAGUCGAACGGAAAGGCCCUGCUUUUGUGGGGUGCUCGAGUGGCGAACGGGUGAGUAACACGUGAGUAACCUGCCCUUAACUUUGGGAUAACUUCAGGAAACUGGGGCUAAUACCGGAUAGGAGCUCCUGCUGCAUGGUGGGGGUUGGAAAGUUUCGGCGGUUGGGGAUGGACUCGCGGCUUAUCAGCUUGUUGGUGGGGUAGUGGCUUACCAAGGCUUUGACGGGUAGCCGGCCUGAGAGGGUGACCGGCCACAUUGGGACUGAGAUACGGCCCAGACUCCUGCGGGAGGCAGCAGUGGGGAAUAUUGCACAAUGGGCGGAAGCCUGAUGCAGCAACGCCGCGUGCGGGAUGACGGCCUUCGGGUUGUAAACCGCUUUCGCCUGUGACGAAGCGUGAGUGACGGUAAUGGGUAAAGAAGCACCGGCUAACUACGUG